CUCCAAUUCGACCCCUAGCCAGGGAACCUCCAUGUGCCAUGGGUGCAGCCCUAAAAAGCCAAAAAUAAAAAUAAAAAAUAAUGUUAAAAAUAAAGGAUUGCAUAUGGAGAAUCGAUUGAAGGGAUCUGGAAUGGAAGUGGGAAGGAAGGAGGCUGGAGCAGUGGUCCAGGUAAAGCUGACAGAGUCAGGACUAAGGUGCGGAUGCCGCUGAUGCAGAUGUGUGUGAUUUCAAGGUAUAAUGACAGACUUGGCUGCAUAUGAGAAGUGAGGGAAAGACAGGAAUCAAGGAGAACUCCAGGUUCCUGGCUCUCUGACCAGAUGGGGCUCAGUGCGGUCACCCAGAAGGAGAACAGAUUUGGGGAGCAGGAGAUGCAGAGUUCCUUUUAGAACAUGAUUCAUUUGAGAUGCCAGGGAGAGAGCUGCAUGAAACGAUGAAAUAAGUCUCCAGAGAAAUGAGCCUGGAGCUUGGGGAAGAGGUUUGAGGUAGAGAUAAAAUGGUAUGAGUCUUUCAAUAUCUAAAUGGCGUUUAAAGCCACAGAACCCCGUGAACGAAUGCUAAUCAAGGAGAGAACGCGGGUGGAAAAGCAAGGAGCUGAAUUCUGCCACCAACUAGUGAGCUUGAAAGAGGAACUUGAGCCUCGGAGGAAAUCACAGCUUUGGCCAACAUCUUGCUUUCAGCCUGGUAAGACCCUGGGCACAGAGCCCAGUGAAAAUCUGCCGGACUUCUGACCCACAGAAAGUGUGAUGCAAUAAGCUGUGUGGUAUCAAGCCACUAAGUUUAUGGUUGCGUGUUAUAUGGAAUAGCAAAUGCAGACAGAUGUUUAUCUUGUUUUACUGGGGGAGAUGGAAGAUAUUAGAGAUGUUUGUAACCUUUUGAGAAAUGAACUUAUUGAGAAGGAAACACUUUGAGCUUAAAAGGGGUAGAAAUUCAGAGUCGGACACACUUGAAAGAAGCAGGGAUAGCUUCUCCAGGACCUGCAGAAGCAGAGUGAUCCUGCCAGCACAGAAUGGAGGCCGUUUUCACUGCGGAGAGACAAAGGGAGGGGGCCUUUCAUCCACGGGGAACUUGGAAACCAUUUCCAGAAAAGCAGCAGAGGACUUAGUUGAAAGGCUGGACUCCAGCCCGUCCCUCCUCAGCGUUGUGACCUCGGCCAGGCCCGUGAGGCUUAAAGGAGUUAAUGCUCGUUGCAGAAAGCACUGAGAAAGGGGCCAGCAGGCUCUCUAUCAACAAUCUCCAAGAGUGAGUCAUCGUUAUGCCUAUCGCUGCGAAAGCUGCUGCCAGCAGAAGCCGGCGCCCCAGAGGGCUGAGUUCUGGCCCCUCUUCUUUCUUUUUAUACACAGUAAAAUUGAUUUUUAAAUAACAAGGGAUACUUGGUCAACGGGUAGAAAUCGUAACAGUUCACAUUAAAGAAGAAAAAUCACCUACCAUCCCACUCCCCAAAGAUCAUUUUUCUGUUCCUCUAUUCAACUAGUAUCAUAGCGAUCUGGUGCUAUUUGCUUUUUCCCCAGAGGGUGACUGGGAUUGUGGUCUUCCCACCCCCACCAGCAUGAGUCACCCCGGUCCCACACAGUCACCCAGGCCUCCGGCUUUGCUAAGGGGGUGAUGGCGCAGAGGCAGUGAAAGAGGCUGAAGGACAGGGUCUGCAAUGCUGUCUGGCCUGUCCCCAGCCACCUGGAGAAUUUUAUGAGCAAAGAGCGUCAGUGAUUUUAAAAGGCCAGCCCCACUCACAGCCCUUGCAUUUAGGAGGCCCAUCCCCCGCGGCCUGGGUCUGAAUCCUGGCCUCCAUGCAUUAGUUGUGUGACUUGGGACAAAUUAUUUCAACCACUCUGUGCCUCAGUUUCCCUAUCGAUGAAAUGGGUAUAACAGGAGUUUCCAUCAUGGCUCAGCAGGACCAAACCCAACUAGUAUCCUUGAGGACACAGGUUCGAUCUCUGGCCUCGCUCAGUGGGUUAAGGUUCCAGUGUUGCCGUGAGCUGUGGUGUAGGUUGCAGACAUGGCUCAGAUCUGGCAUGGCUGUGGCUGUGGCUGUGGCUGUGCCAUUGCUUUGACUGUGGCCACUGGGCCUGGAGAUGAAGAUGGGCUGCGUGCAACCCGACAAGACUGUGACUCUCUAAAGACCCCCCACCCCCACCCCAGAUCUCAGCCAGAUCUCAGGGCCACUGUCCUGCUUCUGCUGACUGCUUGUCGCUGAGGCCUUUAU
rnacentral:lncRNA from 1 species